rnacentral:lncRNA from 13 species
CCUGCAUGUCCUGCACACUGCACAUGUACCCCAAAUCUUAAAGUAUAUAUAUAUAUAAAGUAGGACAUUUAUCACAGAAAAUGACAAGAAUUUUAAAAUAUGUGAAUGUUUAAAAGAAAUGAUCAGUAUCACUAGGGCUUCAGGGAAACAAUCACUCUUUACAGCAAAAUUAUUAGAGUGAAACAUGCAGAACAAAUUCCCUGAAACACAUAUACUUUUCAUGAAACCAUACAUGAUAAACCAGAGAAAUCUUACCCACUGGUUUCAAAUUACUUAUAGAAACCUUAAAAAUAAAAAGUGACGAAAAAUAAUAACAAAGACAAAAACUUGUGAAUUUCCACAAAACUUGAAGAAAAUAUAUUUAACCUCACUAACAUAAAAAAAUUAAAAGCAUACUUCUUUUGUCUCCAUAAUUGAUAUAUUUUUAAAGGACAUGCAUACUGAGAAGAAUUAGUGGAAGAUGAAUUAUCGCAUACUUUUCAUAAAUUUGAAAACAUAUAGCCUCUCUAGAAAUCUUUUUAAAAAACACAGCUAAUAACUGUAUUUGUUUAAACCACUUUGCAAAAGAGACAUAUGAUACUUGUGGAUUAGACAACCAAAGAUACAUGAAAUACUGUGGCUCAGGCAAAGUAGGAAUACACAUCCCAUACUCCUUUGUCUGUAGAUGCGCCAUAGUCAGGGGAGAUAAUGAGUUCCAGUUUAUGAUGUCAUUAAGUGAGUCAUAUUCCUUUCAUUUUAUUUCUCUGCCACCAUUUCCAAGAGUAUUUUCAACUUCGUGAGCAAGGCUGGUUCAUCAUCACAUCUCUGCAAUAGGAAGAGAAAGGGGAUAGAGGACCGAGAGAAUGAAUUAAGACACAGAAAAGAACAGAGGGAAGAUCAUGUGAAAACCUGGAGAGAGAAUGUCCAUCUACACAUCAAGGAGAGAGGACUCAGAAGAAACCAAGCCUGUCAGCUUCUUGAACCUGGCCUUCUAGAUGGUGAGCAGUCUCAUUACUGCAGAAAACACAUUCCAGGGUCUGUCAGCGUUCCUGUGAAUAUCCUAACCAGCUUAACCAUCAGGUUUUAAGCUUGCUGAAGACAGGCAACCUUAUACAUGCUUUCACUGAUCUCUCUCUUCAUCAUACGAAGUUCAUUUGAUGCAAGGUAAGUGAUCAGUAAAUAUUUUCCAAUAACUGGAUCGAUAAAUAUAGUUUUCUUUCUUGAAGUGCAUAUUUAGAGUUUUAAAAAUAGUUUUUUAAUCAAGAAAAUUCAU